rnacentral:rRNA from 1 species
UACGUAGGCAGCAAGCGUUGUUCGGAGUUACUGGGCGUAAAGGGUGUGUAGGCGGUUGUUUAAGUUUGGUGUGAAAUCUCCCGGCUCAACUGGGAGGGUGCGCCGAAUACUGAAUGACUAGAGUGUGGGAGAGGUGAGUGGAAUUCCUGGUGUAGUGGUGAAAUGCGUAGAUAUCGGGAGGAACACCAGUGGCGAAGGCGACUUCCUGGCCUGUUCUUGACGCUGAGGCGCGAAAGCUAGGGUAGCAAACGGG